UGAUAACCCCUGAGCUCCUGGACUCCAGCUCAGAUACCCUUUGCAAUACUAAGUGUCACUAUGUCCUGGUGGCUGGUAGCUGAUGGCUUAACUGACCUGCUUGUCUGGAUUCCUUAAUUCUGGUUUUAUUUUAACCUCUUAAACCCUGUCAGUCCAGAUUGCUCAUUGCCUUCCCAUAAGCGCACCAGCUGACCAGGAGCAACAUCUUCAGUUCCUUCAGAAUGCAGAGUCUUUGACCUCCUCAUAAAGCCACACCUCAAGGGGACGCUGGCCCUACCUUCAGUCAAGGCACGUAUUAAAUUUCCUAUUGACUACCCAUAUUCACCACCUACCUUCAGAUUCUUGACCAAAAUGUGGCACCCCAACAUCUAUGAUAUUUGAUUGCUGGACACUGCAGGACAGUGGACUGUGAGAGGAAGCCUAGUAAGAUCGAGGUGGGCUUGAAGACCCAGGGACCCACGAGGGACAAACAUUAGGAGCUUCGCCUGCUCCUGUCACCAGGCCCUGGUCUCAUAGCCACAGCCUACCAUGGAGAGAAUUGUGGCCAUCAGUCAUGGAGGGUCAGUGCCUCCACAUAGAGACGAGGCAUCCCUAAACAUUUCAGACCAAGCC
rnacentral:lncRNA from 1 species